rnacentral:tRNA from 1 species
GCAUCCGUAGCUCAACUGGAUAGAGUGUUGCUUUCCGAAGGCAAAGGUUGCGGGUUCAAAUCCCACCGGAUGCACCA